CGCGUAGGCGGUCUUGUCAGUCCCUUGUGAAAUCCCCCGGCUCAACUGGGAACUGCAAGGGAAACAGCAGGGCUUGAGUUACGGGAGAGGGAAGCGGAAUUCCGGGUGUAGCGGUGAAAUGCGUAGAUAAUCCGGAGGAACACCGGUGGCGAAGGCGGCUUCCUGGACCGAUACUGACGCUGAGGCGCGAAAGCUAGGGAGCAAACG
rnacentral:rRNA from 1 species